UUGUGGAGGAGGACGCCGAAGGUGGGGCUAAUGACUGGGGUGAAGUCGUAACAAGGUAGCCGUACCGGAAGGUGCGGCUGGAUCACCUCCUAACAGGGAGACAACAAAAUGUUUAAUAUUAUUAUUUUGUCACCUUAGGUCGAUCGGUAUCUCACGUUUUUAAUUUAUUAAGAAUUUCAUUUCCUAAGUUUUUCUAGGUCACACCCAUUAUUUUUCCUGGGCCAUUAGCUCAGGUGGUUAGAGCGCACCCCUGAUAAGGGUGAGGUCCCUGGUUCAAGUCCAGGAUGGCCCAUAUCUCUAUGUUGGGGGUAUAGCUCAGUUGGUAGAGCGCCUGCUUUGCAAGCAGGAUGUCAGCGGUUCGAGUCCGCUUACCUCCACUGAUUACCACCUCUUCCAUAACCGGUAGAAAGGAAAUGUUUUGAGUUGUGAUCAAAUUCUGAAAGAAUCUAGCUUCCUAAUGAAAUCAUUAAGAUGCUGGACUCAUUGAAUUAAUUUCAUUGUUUUCAGAGAACCUUGACAACUGCAUAGAUUAUUUUUAAAGACAAUAAGCAUCUUUAAUGAUGCAGAUUUAUUAUUUGUGCGAAUGCAUUAAAUAACAAUUCUAUUAAGCUGAUGCUUCAAUUUUUGAAGUUAUUGGUCAAGCUACAA
rnacentral:misc_RNA from 1 species